AUAGAUCGGAAGCGAGAAUGUUGACAUGAGUAGCGACAAACAGGGUGAGAAACCCUGUCGCCGAAAGUCCAAGGGUUCCUGCUUAAAGCUAAUCUGAGCAGGGUAAGCCGGCCCCUAAGGCGAGGCCGAAAGGCGUAGUCGAUGGGAACCAGGUUAAUAUUCCUGGGCCAGUGGGAUGUGACGGAUCGCAGAUGUAGUUUGCCCUUAUCGGAUUGGGUGGGCUGCUGAGCGGUUCCUGGAAAUAGCCCCACAUCAGACCGUACCCUAAACCGACACAGGUGGACUGGUAGAGUAUACCAAGGCGCUUGAGAGAACCACGUUAAAGGAACUCGGCAAAAUGCCUCCGUAAGUUCGCGAGAAGGAGGCCCCAUAUGUGCGCAAGCAUGUGUGGGGGGCACAAACUAGGGGGUGGCGACUGUUUACUUAAAACACAGGGCUGUGUGAAGCCGUAAGGCGACGUAUACAGUCUGACGCCUGCCCGGUGCUGGAAGAUUAAGAGGAGGGGUGCAAGCUCUGAAUUGAAGUCCCAGUAAACGGCGGCCGUAACAAUAACGGUCCUAAGGUAGCGAAAUUCCUUGUCGGGUAAGUUCCGACCUGCACGAAUGGCGUAACGAUCUCCCCGCUGUCUCUAACGUGGACUCAGCGAAAUUGAACUGUCUGUCAAGAUGCAGACUACCCGCGGUUAGACGGAAAGACCCCAUGAACCUUUACUCCAGCUUUGCAUUGGCAACAGGACUGUGAUGUGCAGGAUAGGUGGUAGGCAUUGAAGCGGGGACGCCAGUCUUCGUGGAGCCUCCCUUGAGAUACCACCCUUCGCCGUCUUGUUGUCUAACCGCGACCCGUUAUCCGGGCCCGGGACCGUGCAUGGUGGGGAGUUUGACUGGGGCGGUCGCCUCCCAAAUUGUAACGGAGGCGCGCGAUGGUUGGCUCAGACCGGUCGGAAAUCGGUCGUUGAGUGCAAUGGCAGAAGCCAGCCUGACUGCAAGACUGACAAGUCGAGCAGAGACGAAAGUCGGUCAUAGUGAUCCGGUGGUCCCAAGUGGGAGGGCCAUCGCUCAACGGAUAAAAGGUACUCUGGGGAUAACAGGCUGAUGAUGCCCAAGAGUCCAUAUCGACGGCAUCGUUUGGCACCUCGAUGUCGGCUCUUCUCAUCCUGGGGCUGGAGCAGGUCCUAAGGGUAUGGCUGUUCGCCAUUUAAAGAGGUACGUGAGCUGGGUUUAGAACGUCGUGAGACAGUUCGGUCCCUAUCUGCCGUGGGUGCAGGAGACUUGAGAAGAGUUGACCCUAGUACGAGAGGACCGGGUUGAACGAACCACUGGUGGACCAGUUGUCGUGCCAACGGCAGUGCUGGGUAGCUAUGUUCGGACAGGAUAACCGCUGAAGGCAUCUAAGCGGGAAGCCCCCCUCAAAACAAGGUCUCCCUUGAGAGCCGUGGAAGACCACCACGUCGAUAGGCCAGAGGUGUAAGUGCAGCAAUGCAUUCAGCUGACUGGUACUAAUUGCUC
rnacentral:rRNA from 1 species